AGCGAACGCUGGCGGCAGGCCUGACACAUGCAAGUCGAACGAAGUCUUCGGACUUAGUGGCGGACGGGUGAGUAACACGUGGGAACGUACCUUUAGGUUCGGAACAACUCAGGGAAACUUGAGCUAAUACCGGAUAAGCCCUUCGGGGGAAAGAUUUAUCGCCUUUAGAGCGGCCCGCGUUAGAUUAGCUAGUUGGUGGGGUAAAGGCUCACCAAGGCUACGAUCUAUAGCUGGUCUGAGAGGAUGAUCAGCCACACUGGGACUGGGACACGGCCCAGACUCCUACGGGAGGCAGCAGUGGGGAAUCUUGCGCAAUGGGCGAAAGCCUGACGCAGCCAUGCCGCGUGAAUGAUGAAGGUCUUAGGAUUGUAAAAUUCUUUUACCAGGGACGAUAAUGACGGUACCUGGAGAAAAAGCCCCGGCUAACUUCGUGCCAGCAGCCGCAGUAA
rnacentral:rRNA from 1 species